CAGAGGGUGCGAGCGUUGUUCGGAAUUACUGGGCGUAAAGCGCGCGCAGGCGGCCUUUUAAGUCUGACGGUGAAAUGCCGGGGCUCAACCCCGUGCCCGCCGGAGAUACUGGGAGGCUGGAGACGAGUAGAGGCAAGCGGAAUUCCGGGUGUAGCGGUGGAAUGCGUAGAGAUCCGGAAGAACACCGGAGGCGAAGGCGGCUUGCUGGGCUCGGUCUGACGCUGAGGCGCGAAAGCGUGGGGAGCGAACAGGAUUAGAUACCCUGGUAGUCCACGCCGUAAACGAUGGGCACUAGACGCGGGUGGGAUCGACCCCUUCCGUGUCGCAGCUAACGCGAUAAGUGCCCCGCCUGGGGAGUACGGCCGCAAGGCUG
rnacentral:rRNA from 1 species